CCUACGGGUGGCAGCAGUGAGGAAUAUUGGUCAAUGGACGCGAGUCUGAACCAGCCAAGUAGCGUGAAGGAUGACUUCCCUACGGGUUGUAAACUUCUUUUAUAAAGGAAUACAGUGAUGCACGUGUGACAUUUUGUAUGUACCUUAUGAAUAAGGAUCGGCUAACUCCGUGCCAGCAGCCGCGGUAAUACGGAGGAUCCGAGCGUUAUCCGGAUUUAUUGGGUUUAAAGGGAGCGUAGAUGGAUUGUUAAGUCAGUUGUGAAAGUUUGCGGCUCAACCGUAAAAUUGCAAUUGAUACUGGCAGUCUUGAGUACAGUUGAGGUAGGCGGAAUUCGUGGUGUAGCGGUGAAAUGCUUAGAUAUCACGAAGAACUCCGAUUGCGAAGGCAGCUCACUAAACUGCAACUGACAUUGAGGCUCGAAAGUGUGGGUAUCAAACAGGAUUAGAUACCCGAGUAGUC
rnacentral:rRNA from 1 species